UAGGGGAUUGAGGGAUGAGGGGUUUGGGGGAAAGGGGGGAGAGGAGGGGCAUGGUCAGGUGGGGAAUGUCUGAGGUGAGAAGGUUUGGCAAGAAGACAGAGAGACUAGAGACAGAGGUAGAGCAGAGGGAUAGAGACAGAGGAACAAAAAGCAGCAGUGAGAAGGCAAAGGGAUAGAGAUGCAGGAGAGACAGAGACUAGGCAGAGAUAACCACGAGAAAGAGACAGAAAUGGAGUACUAAGAGAAAGCCCCACGCCAAGCCUCCUUUCUUCCACUGGCAAGGUGAGGGGCUUGGUAUGGCUGGGGAGGUCCCCUGACUACCAUUCUCAGUAAGAGAGGAAAUCAAAAUCCAUUCUUAGCUUCUUCUCUUUCUCCUUCCAGCAGUGGCUGGGGGAAGGGAAGUGAGGGCAGGGGCAAAAGUGAGGAUCUGGGAAUUUUAUUUAUUUAUUUAUUAUGACUUUUCAUUUUUUGGUAUUUCAUUUUUUGGUAUUUGGCUUUACUUAAAUAGAUGGGCCCCUGCCCACUGUGCCCCAUUUGUACCUUAUUCCCCAAACCCUGUUCUCCCUCAAUACUCACCUACUUAAGCACUUGUUUAAAGCUUCCAGGGUUGAGAAUGGGAGUAGAGGGCAAGAGGGCUGACAUGGAAGUUUCCAACCCCAAAAUCACCCUACUUAAACUUCCUGAGCCAAACGGGUUGAACUGAAUUCCAGCAGUCACAGAAAUGGCAGAGGUGUGGCCUGCUUAUGCCCAAAUUCCCCCCAGCCAAGAGAGAGACCAAAGAGCCUGCGGAAUGCCUCUGCUCCCUGCCUCUAUCUUCAGGUCCAUAAAAAGAAGAGUAGAGACAGCCCAGAGUCCCCAGGCAGGAGACUACAGGAUGUCAGGAGUGGAGGGGGAAAGAACCUUCAGCAAAACGAACUCUGAGUAGAGCAUCAGUCAUGGGUCUGACGCAAACAAUACGGAACACAAGUAAAACCUGAGCUGGAAAGCUGACCUGGAAGGCUUGUUCUUCCCGAGAGCAUGACUUUCCUGCCUGGCCCAGCUGGUGGAAGGGGCAAAGGUAUGUAACCACCUUUGGAAAGGUGAUGGUGGUGAAUUUUGGCAUCUUAUUCCCAUUCCCAUAGUGAAAAAGUCAGAUGAGGUAUUUUGGUGCAGGAAUGGGCAAGGGCUCAUUUCAACUUGCCUCCUCCUGUGCAGCAGCAGUAUGAUCCCCCCCUCUCUCCUCUCUGGCCCUGUUCUUCAUCACUCCUUCUGCUCCAAUCUUGGAGAACAAGAUGCACCUGACCACCAACACCAUUCACAUUUCCUUGGUGGGAAAAAAGAAACAGAGAAGUGAAGAACAGAAGAUGCCUCCUCCAAGGUCAAAUGCCCAUGUCUCUUGAUCUUGGCACAGGGUGGGGAUUGGGCAAUAGGCAUCAGGUGACUUCCCUCUACAAAUUCUAGACAGCUGGGGCAGUAGACUUGGAGACACUUAGAAUAUGCCCCUUUAAUGCCACCAAAUAAAGACCUUUGGGGGAAGGUCAUUCUCUUAUGAACAUAAAUCUAUGAGUUGAAGUCUCAUUCCCCUGGUCUUCCUCACCCCCAAAGAGGCAUGGGGUAAAGAGGCUUGGGGGCAUAGCCCAGCAAACUAGUGGGAACUAGUACCCCCUCUCACCUUAUGACGUGUGUGGACCUGGCCAGUGCCCCUCUGAUCAUAAUUAGUGUAAUUAUUAUUUACUUUGUGUAUUUGUUACACCGUGUGUGUGAUUGCCUUUGUUUGUUAAGGGUGUCUGAGGAGUAUGGGGCUGACAGGGGCACUGGAAUGCCGGGAAAGGACCUCUUCACUGAGAUCAAGGCUUCCUGAAGGGAACCAUUGCAAAAAGGCCAUCAGGCAGUUUUCAAGUUAUGUGACAGAGGGCAAAGAUGGCCAUAGGGUGCUCUGAGUUUUGGGAUGGUCACAUGACACAAUCCAGCACUUGAACCUGAAAAAAGAAAAAUAAAAGCAGUCAAAGAAUUUAGAAUUCAGCGUUAAGCUCUUCUCCCUAAUCAAGCGCCAUGUUUACACCUCAGAGACCAGGAAGCAGAGGAUCUGAGGGAGAAUGAAACUUUGUGCUUAAGGAGUAAGAAGAUGGGG
ensembl:lncRNA